rnacentral:rRNA from 1 species
UUAUUAUUUAUUAUUUAUAGAACUAACUUUURUUUUAGUACAUUUUAUGGAAUUAAUUAAUUUUAUUUAUAGUUUAUUUUACUGUGAAGGUUUAUUAAUUUUUAAUUUAAAAGUAGAAUUUAUUGUUUGUACCUUUUGUAUCAGGGUCUAUCAAUAUAUAUAAUUUAUCCAAUUCUUAUCCCGAAUUUAUAAGAGAUAUUAUUAAAUUGUUUUUUAAUGUUUCAUAAUUAUAUAAAAAUUAAUAAUAGGUGUUAUAUGCUAUUCAUUUAUAAAUAUCUGGUUUCUUAAUAAUUGAAUUUAAUUCAGGAUAAACUAAAYUCCAAUUGACUUUUAUUAUAAAUGAUUUUUGGUUUAUCUAACAUUUUAGGGGAUAAGCUCUUUAAUGCUUUUAUGACUAUUAAAUUUUAUAUUAAAUUUGUAGGAUUAGAAAUUUCCAUCAUUUAUUUUGUUAUAAUUAUUUUUGUGUUUGUUUUUAUUUAUUAUYAGUCUAAAUUUUUAUUAAGAAUUAAAGUUUAAUUUUGAAUCUUUAGAUAUAAUGUUAGAAUUAGUAGUAUUUUUAAUUAAUGUAUAGUAACUCGGCAAUUUUUAUUCUCCACCUGUUUAACAAAAACAUGUCUUAAUGCUUUAUUUUAUAUUAAGUCUAACCUGCUCAAUGAUUAUUUAAUUAAAUAGCCGCAGUAUUUUGACUGUGCGAAGGUAGCAUAAUCAUUUGUCUUUUAAUUGAAGGCUUGUAUGAAGGGUUGGAUGAGGGAUUGACUUUCUUUACRUUAUUUUUGUGAAUUUAAUUUUURGGUUAAAAAGCUUAAAUUUAUAAAUGGGACGAGAAGACCCUAUAGAAUUUUAUUUAURUUYGRAUAAUUUAUUUUAUUGGUUAUUUUAUUAUUUAUUUGGAUAUAUAUUUUGUUGGGGUGAUGGUAAGAUUUUUUUAACUCUUAYAAUUUAUUUUAUUAUUUAUUUUUAUAUUUAAGAUCCUAUUUUAUGGAUAAAUAGAUUAAAUUACCUUAGGGAUAACAGCGUAAUUUCUCUGGAGAGUUCUYAUCGAUAGAGAAGUUUGCGACCUCGAUGUUGGAUUAAAAUAAGAUUUAAGUGCAGAAGCUUAAUUUCUAGGUCUGUUCGACCUUUAAAUUUUUACAUGAUCUGAGUUCAGACCGGCGUGAGCCAGGUCGGUUUCUAUCUUUUUAUAUAUGAUUGUAUUUUAGUACGAAAGGACCAUUUACAGCAAAUAUUUUGUUUGUUAUUGAUUAAUAUU